rnacentral:rRNA from 1 species
UACCUGCAGCUCAAGUAGUGACCACUAUUAUUGGGCCUAAAACGUUCGUAGCAUGUUUGGUAAAUGCCUGGGUAAAUCGUGUAGCUUAACUAUACGAAUUCCGGGUAGACUGCCAAACUUGAAACCGGGAGAAGCUAGAGGUACUUCUGGGGUAGAGGUGAAAUUCUGUAAUCCUAGGGGGGCCACCAGUGGCGAAGGCGUCUAGCUAGAACGGGUUUGACGGUGAGGAACGAAGCCCUGGGGCGCAAACCGGAUUAGAUACCCGGGUAGUCCAGGGUGUAAACGCUGCUUGCUUGAUGUUAGUUGGGCUCCGAGCCCAAUUAGUGUCGGAGAGAAGUUGUUAAGCAAGCUGCCUGGGAAGUACGAUCGCAAGAUUGAAACUUAAAGGAAUUGGGCGGGGGAGCACAGCAACGGGUGGAGCGUGCGGUUU